ACAUGCCUACAACAUAGCAUUAGUGCACCGGAUUCCAUUAGAACUCCACAAUUAAGCAUGCUCAGGCUAGAAUAGUAUUGGGAUGGGUGACUGCCUGGGAAGUCCUAGUGUUUUACAUGCC
rfam:Picea glauca, whole genome shotgun sequence.